GAACGCUGGCGGCAGGCCUAACACAUGCAAGUCGAACGGUAGCACAGAGAGCUUGCUCUCGGGUGACGAGUGGCGGACGGGUGAGUAAUGUCUGGGAAACUGCCCGAUGGAGGGGGAUAACUACUGGAAACGGUAGCUAAUACCGCAUAACGUCUUCGGACCAAAGUGGGGGACCUUCGGGCCUCACACCAUCGGAUGUGCCCAGAUGGGAUUAGCUAGUAGGUGGGGUAACGGCUCACCUAGGCGACGAUCCCUAGCUGGUCUGAGAGGAUGACCAGCCACACUGGAACUGAGACACGGUCCAGACUCCUACGGGAGGCAGCAGUGGGGAAUAUUGCACAAUGGGCGCAAGCCUGAUGCAGCCAUGCCGCGUGUAUGAAGAAGGCCUUCGGGUUGCAAAGUACUUUCAGUGGGGAGGAAGGCGAUGAAGUUAAUAACUUCGUCAAUUGACGUUACCCGCAGAAGAAGCACCGGCUAACUCCGUGCCAGCAGCCGCGGUAAUACGGAGGGUGCAAGCGUUAAUCGGAAUUACUGGGCGUAAAGCGCACGCAGGCGGUCUGUCAAGUCGGAUGUGAAAUCCCCGGGCUCAACCUGGGAACUGCAUUCGAAACUGGCAGGCUAGAGUCUUGUAGAGGGGGGUAGAAUUCCAGGUGUAGCGGUGAAAUGCGUAGAGAUCUGGAGGAAUACCGGUGGCGAA
rnacentral:rRNA from 1 species